rnacentral:lncRNA from 1 species
UUUUCUUUAGUACGCUACCGUAUUAUCAAACAACGAUUAUGGACUAAAGCAAAUCAAUUCCACCAAUAUUCUAUAUAUGUAAAAAAAUAAGCCUUAAAUUAUCUAAGUUUUUUUUGCUGCUCACCCUCUCAAAUUCUCGUUCUCGACUCUCAACUAAUGAUAUUAUUGUCAUUACUAUUUUCUUAAGACAUAGUAAAACUAGACAUAUCACAGGUUACUGAAUUUGCUCCGCCCAACAUGCAUGCAUGGUGCGCGUGGAUCGAUUGUGAUAGAAUAGACAAGACAAAAUUAGAAAACUAGCUAGGUCUCGGUCAUAGGACGAUUCGAAAUCAGUUUCUUAUUAUAUAAUAAUGACAGUGACCCACGUGGAAUAACAAUAAAAUAAAAAUGAGCUAAUUAAGAAUAAAUGAACCACGUGGAAACAACGAAAUUUCAAUGCCGUUAAUAAAAAUAAUCUUUUUGGGCAAAAGUGACAAUUAUUCGAUUAAGAUUUGCUUCUAUAACGUAAUGAUUUGUACAAAAAAUUUAUGUCUCUAACAUCACUAAAGGAUUAGAUAUAAGAAUUUAAUUGCAUUUUAACAUUAAAAAAAAAAUCAAAAGAUUUUGUAAUUAUCAAGAAUUUUUGUUCUUUUUUUCUUAUUCUUUAAAAUCGAUCUCUCAAAUACUAGAUUCUGUAUUUUUAGUAUGCCGCACAUAUAAUUAAACAAGUGUUGACUAAAGGAAACCAAUCUCACCGAUAUUCUAUAUAUGUUAAAAAUAUUCUAUACUAUUCUAUUACUUAUUUCUUUACUAAAAUUUUUUAUUUUAAGUUACAUGAAAUAUAACUUAAGUAAACCGUAAAAAUAAACUUCAAAUUAUCAAAGUAUUUUGUUGCUGACCCUCAAAUUUUUAUUUUUGACUCUCAACUAAAGAUAGAUUAAGAUUUUUAUUACGAAGGUUAGAUUGUCAACUACAAUGUGUAUGUAUGUAGGUAGGUAGGGUGUGCGUGUGUAAUUGGAAGUUUUAAAUGAUAAUUAAGCAGAAUUUUUGUAACAAGCAGUGCUACAUUUUAGAUAGCCUGAGCAAAAAAUCAUGGGUUGGCCCGAUUAGGCCAGGCCCGUGGGCAUUGGACCAGCCCUCUUGGACAAGGGCUAAAGGAAAAAAAAGCUAGGCCCUCUAUUUCUUUUAAAAUAAAUCAAUUUUAAAAAAGUAAUAGGAAAAU